UAAUUUAUAACUCGAACUUGUAGCAAUAGAAAUAAGAAAUUUGUACAGCCUCCGCGCCAUUGCAUUGGUGUACUCCGGCGUCAGGAACAAAUCCUGCCAUAUUUGAUACAUACACACAUCCUAGUUGACAUUUGUUCUCUGGAAUGUUGAUGUCAUUUUAUUGAUUCCAAAAAAAGAUAGCAAGAUGGGACAUUGAUUCAACAAUUAUUAGAGUUCUAUAAGAACGCAUCUGUACUUAUUUUUGAAGAUGUAUUUGUACUGCCCAAAAACAUAAGCUGAAGCACAAAACAAACAUUUAAAUACAUUGGUGCUCAUGGGAAUAGUCACACACCUAGUGAGCAUGUUCUUUUCAUAUCUUCCCAACUACUCAAUUAGCAAAGCAGCACAUCUACGCAUUUUAAUAGCAGGAGCAAAGAAAGAGAGAGAUUGAUAUGAGAGAGUGUCGUUGAAGCACGCCAAGGACUCCCAUCAGUGCUCAACCUGGACGGCUGCCAGCAACCAUGGUGGACGUGCCAGUGGUGGUGUAGCAUGGCCAGAGCAGGGCGGUGGUUGUGCGGAUCCUGAUAUUCCAACACAUCAUGUUAGCGCACCAGGGAAAUAACAAGUUCUCCAUAAAAAUGUUAUCCAUACUAGGUAAGAACAAAGCUACAUGACAAUACCUUUUCUUCAGCUAGCUACUACAUGCUACUGCUCCUCCAGCAAUGUAGCAUCUUUGUAUCCUCCUUGCGCGGGCAACCAUUGGGAGCAAGGGCUGCUACCGCUCGACACGUUGAACCACCUGUAGGAAUCAAAAUGAACUGAAGGGAUUCAAACACAUCAAUGGGCACAUGUACUACACAAUAAUUUGCACCUGUACUGUCCAUAACAACAAACUAACAUAAAAACAAUUUAUGAAGGAAACAGUUCUUGAAAUUGGGUUGAGCUUAAACUGUUCAGAUUUUUGAACUCCUGCAGCAGUUAUACUUGAACUUGCGCGACACAUUUUUUGAAAGCAUCUAAUGUUCAGAAUACGUUAUAUGGAAAGAGGAACGUGGAACACACUAGGACACAUAGGCCAGCUUGAACUUGUAGCAUCAUUCUUUAUAUUUUUCUAAUUGGAGAAUAACAUGCGAGCUUAUAGCAUUUGAUCACUGAAACUUGUAGCAAUAGAAAUAAGAACUACGGCCUCCGACCCGUGGAAAUUAUAAGAAAUUUAUAAAGUUGUGAGCGACGAGGGGACAACCUUUCCUUUUCUGCCCUCGUACACGCUUGUGUCGGACCUCAAAUGGUGUGUGUGCGUGCCCAUUG
rnacentral:lncRNA from 1 species